rnacentral:lncRNA from 1 species
UUCAAAUCAGCCAGAUGCUGGUCAGAUUCAAUCAUCUCCGUAUUGGCCAUAUACUGACUAGAUCCGUGCCAACCAUUUUUAAUUCAGUUGAUCACCUCAUGAUCCAAACAAGGAAGGAGAUCCCAAUCAGAAAGGAUAUUACAGGAAUCCCUCGAUUCACAAAUCAUUCUUGCUCCUCCAUCCAUGAUUUGAAAUUUAAAUUCUUGACAAAAUCUAAAUAAGGAAGGGGAUUAUGUGGAUUAUUUUUCUCCACUAUCUAUAUUCAAAAUUUAAUUUGAAUUCUUAGCACAAUCC